GGGGCAGGCUAAAAGUUGGGCUGUGUAAACAGAAGAGGGGAUGGAGGCAAGCGAGGGAGACGUAGCGCUGUGCAGGACCAUUAGGCAAAGAGGGGAAGGGAUUAAGGUGCAGAAAUCUGCUCUUAAAUCAACGCCGCUGGAGCGGUGGUUGGGCUGUGUGAGUAAGAGUUAGCUCAGGGCAGGUAAGUCAUAUUUCUGCAGGCCAUGGGAUGUGAAGAUAAAGCUGUCAAAAAGCCCCCCAGGUUCUGAAAGGAGUGCCUGUUUUACUCCUUUUUAUCCUCAGCUGCUAGCUAGUACACAAACACUUGACUUAAACGUAUACUGAGAUUCAGAAGUGUAUGCAGUCUCAUACGGUUCUCUUAAGAUGUUAAGCGCUGUAAUAAACACCCACCCUUUUGCAACAUCAGAUAGUUUGGCUGACGCAGAAGAAUCCUUGAAACAUUAGACCCGCGACUGAGGAGGGGUACGGAUGUCAAACAUCUUGUUAUCAAAGCCAGAGCUUUCAGAGCAGUGUUUGAGAGGGCUACAUCGUUUUGAACAGCCCCCGCUGUACCAAAGCAUGUCCGGAUUUUACAGAUAACUUGUGCUGUUCCAUCUUUGAUAGCAGCGUUUCUGUACAUAUGGAUAGCUCAGAUUUAUCUUCCGAGUGACAAUGCUUAUCCUGUUCACCGCAGAAUAUGAGAAAGCUUUUGCUGAGCUUCAAAGUCUUGCAUGGGAACCUGUUAUCAAAUACUGAGUUCAAGUUACCACCCUGUUAUGGUGGGACGUCGAGAAGAAUACCCAAAUUCCAGAUUCUGUAUUUUGACACAAAAAGGAAAUGAACACACAAUGUGUACUGCACUCAGCAACUCUGCACUCUUAGUACAAGGAUCUCUUUUUUACUGUGGAAAAAGGAGUCUCAAAGGCUUUCAAAGGGGAACACUUUCAAAGGUAACCACUUUUUCAUCAUGUCCCAUAUUUCUGGAUCUGAAUUUCAGCACUGAAGAUUUCAGGUACUAUAAAAAACAUUAAUGUAUUGCAACUUUGUAUUAAGGUCAUGUCUCACUGAUGCAGACCGUACUGGUUUAGCCACCCAGCCUGACAAACUGCUGCAAGUGCCAAGCCAUGCAUCUUUUUUCCCCCCAUAAUUAUGCCAUUUUUAUCCCUGAGUGAGAUUUCUCAGACAUGCUAUUGUUGUCAGGGACAUACAGCUCCAUUACCACUAUGCUGAAAACUCUUCCCUGCCCCCACAAUGCAUUCAAAUGGAUCUGAGCUUUCACUAAACAGAGGUUUCAUAAUCACAGAUUGAACAAAGUUUAGUUGUGCUUAUUAGAAGUGCCAUAGUACAGACAUGGUCAUUUUGUUAUUUAACUCUAAAAAAAAAUCUCUGUAUAAUACUAUUUUUGUUGAACCACCAACACUCCCUCCCAAGACUUAGAUGCUGUAUCAAAGCUUUUUUUUUUUUUAAAAAAAAAAAAAAAAAGUCUUUGAAUGGAGUAGGGAUGUCAGGUCAGAAAAGAAUUUAAACUGAAAACAAACUGGAAAGCUAUAUUGCACAUAAAACAUCUUUGAACUUCAUCAGCAAUAUAUAAUAAGUAAAUUGGAUUGGUGCUCUUUUUGUUUUCAGACAGGGGUUUGAAGGUCUGGGUUUCUUAAGCAUCAUUUUAAUUGCAUUAAGUCUCUCUGCAGUCAAUAGAAAGACUCUCACAGGUCUCCUAAAAAUAGACUAGCUGCUCUCCUCAGUGGCGACAUACCAUGAAGACUUAUGAGUGUACUAGGGGCUGUGGCUGGCAGUGCCUGGCAUUGCAGACACAGAAUGCUCCCCCACAGCAGCAGGAUGUGUGCUCCCCAGGAUCGAGCAUCAGCUAGACCCAGUUAGACUAGCAGCAGGCUCCUCCUUGCAGGCUGUCAUCCUGCGGUGGGGGUUUGGUCCUUCAGACUCCUCCUGGGAGGGUAACACAAAGGCUGGCAGGAACCCAGGAGGCUCCUGGGCUGCAGGGGCAAUGAUGGGUCCUCAUGGAGAUGCCUGAGG
rnacentral:lncRNA from 1 species